rnacentral:rRNA from 1 species
GUCAAGGGGGUUGGAGCAAUCCAGCAACCGGCGAACGGGUGCGUAACACGUGAGCGACCUACCCAGUGAUGGGGGAUAGCCGGCCCAACGGCCGGGUAAUACCGCAUACGCGUCUUCGGGGGCCUCCCUGGGGACGGAAACCUACGGGGUCAUUGGAGGGGCUCGCGGCCUAUCAGCUAGUUGGCGAGGUAACGGCUCACCAAGGCGAUGACGGGUAGCUGGUCUGAGAGGAUGGCCAGCCACAUUGGGACUGAGAGACGGCCCAGACUCCUACGGGAGGCAGCAGUGGGGAAUCUUGCGCAAUGGCCGAAAGGCUGACGCAGCGACGCCGCGUGGAGGAUGACGCCCUUCGGGGUGUAAACUCCUGUUGCCCGGGACGAAUACCUGUUUCGACAGGGGUGACGGUACCGGGUGAGGAAGCACCGGCUAACUCUGUGCCAGCCGCCGCGGUAA